AUCCUUGUAGCGCAAUGGCUAGCGCGUUGGAAUGUUAAUUCAAAGGUCAAGGGUUCGAAUCCCACCUGGGAUG